rnacentral:rRNA from 1 species
AACCAGACUCCUACGGGAGGCAGCAGUGGGGAAUAUUGCACAAUGGGGGGAACCCUGAUGCAGCGACGCCGCGUGAAGGAAGAAGUAUUUCGGUAUGUAAACUUCUAUCAGCAGGGAAGAAAAUGACGGUACCUGACUAAGAAGCCCCGGCUAACUACGUGCCAGCAGCCGCGGUAAUACGUAGGGGGCAAGCGUUAUCCGGAUUUACUGGGCGUAAAGGGCGCGUAGGUGGGCGCUUAAGUCAGGUGUGAAAACUCCGGGCUCAACCUGGAGACUGCACUUGAAACUGGGUGUCUUGAGGGCAGGAGAGGAAAGUGGAAUUCCUAGUGUAGCGGUGAAAUGCGUAGAUAUUAGGAGGAACACCAGUGGCGAAGGCGACUUUCUGGACUGUACCUGACGCUGAGGCGCGAAAGCGUGGGUAGCGAACGGGAUUAGAUACCCUAGUAC